UUUUCAGGCCCUGGAGGUAGUUCCAGUGGUUAUUUUAUCCAUCGUCGAGGCGACGAUGCAAAAGCGGGGGGUAGGUGUGACCUGUCGUGUCUUUCCCUGCCACUAUAUGGCAUUGUGAUAAGGGACGGAGCGCGUUGAUUGAGGGGCGGUGCGAUGCGUCUCUAUAUAUAGAUGUGCGAUGCAUUUGCCUCUUCCUCUUCCGCUUCCUUCCUGUGGCCACUGUGAUUGUGUGACGUGGUCGUUGCGGGCGUAUGAUCCUCUUCGCUCAGAGCGCGACCGGCUGCCGGGCCGUGGGGAUGUGUCGCCCCACUGGUAGUUUUUCCUGGAGAUGCUCAUCUGCCCUUUCGCUGAGUGAUUAACCCGUGACAGGAGCUGGCUGUCUUCUGCCUCUUUUCGGCGUGGCCGUAGCCUUGCGGAACGAGGCGAGGGUAAACUGCCGGCAACUACCAGUCACUCCUCCUUGGCUCUACUACCGUUUUGGCUCUACUACCGUUUUGGCUCUACUACCGUUUUGGCUCUACUACCGUUUUGGCUCUACUACCGUUUUGGCUCUACUACCGUUUUGGCUCCAUUAUUGUAUCGGCUGUAUUGCUGUUUUGGCCUGAUGUGGAGUUUGUUCCUUCCUUUUCUCCUGUGUUGUUUUUUUCCUUUAUUGUAUUGAUGAGUUUAUUAUAUUGUCUUUUU